GAGGAGGAGGUAAGGAGGAUGACCCAUCAGCAAAGGAGUAACGACAGUUUGCUCUUGCAAAGGCUUUGGCAGUAGAGAAGAUAUGAAAGGGAAAGAACAAUCCUUUCCAAUGCCAAAGAAAAAUGGGCUCUUCUGGAAUUCUUGAGAGACUGAUUAUACAUUGAUCUCCACAGAGGAAACUCCCUAGGGGAUUUUCAAAGGCAGCAAAGAAAUGUCAUAUGAACACAUUCUGAAAAGGAGGCCAGAACUGGACUAUCCUGGAGCCCUGAUUUCAGACAUCC